rnacentral:rRNA from 1 species
UAGCGAGGGGUGCAAGCGUUGCUCGGAAUCAUUGGGCGUAAAGCGCACGUAGGCGGUCUGUUAUGUCGGAUGUGAAAGCCCUCGGCUCAACUGAGGAAGUGCAUCCGAAACUGGCAGGCUAGAGUACUAAAGAGGGUCGCGGAAUUCCCGGUGUAGAGGUGAAAUUCGUAGAUAUCGGGAGGAACACCGGUGGCGAAGGCGGCGACCUGGGUAGAUACUGACGCUGAGGUGCGAAAGCGUGGGGAGCAAACAGG